rnacentral:rRNA from 1 species
UACAGAGGGUGCGAGCGUUGUCCGGAAUCACUGGGCGUAAAGGGCGCGUAGGUGGCCCGACAAGUCAAUGGUGAAAGUUCGACGCUUAACGUCGAAUCAGCCACUGAUACUGUUGGGCUGGAGCACUGUAGAGGCUCAUGGAAUUCCGGGUGUAGCGGUGGAAUGCGUAGAGAUCCGGAAGAACACCGGUGGCGAAGGCGGUGAGCUGGGCAGUUGCUGACACUGAGGCGCGACAGCGUGGGGAGCAAACAGG